rnacentral:hammerhead_ribozyme from 1 species
AUCCAGCUGAUGAGUUCCAAAUGGGACGAAAGGCGUUUCCUGCAU